GCUGGAGGGAAUAGGCCUUUGAUUUCAUGCCUUCAGGAUCAAAAGCAGGACCCAUCUAAGUCAACAGCUUUUUGAAGUGAAGCAACAAUGCGGUGAGAAAUUACAAAAUGAAUUCAGUGCACACAGGAGGUUUGUAGUUUUUUAAAGGCAAGUACACUUUGCAUGGUGUGAGGGUUUUCAUGAGGUGUCAAAUUAAAAGAGCCUAGAGAUUAUUUCCAAAUACAGAAGAAACAACUUGGUCUCUAAUACUUAGGUUUAUUAAGGUUAAAUUUAUAAUGAGAAUAAGAGAGCAGUAAAGAGCUCAGUUUAUCAAAAAGCCCCAAGUUUCUCUGAAAUUCUC
rnacentral:lncRNA from 1 species